AUCUGUGCCACAUGCAUGAAUUCAAUUGGAGUAUAACGAAGAAUUACAAGAUUGUGUGUUUCCAAGUAACAGCUCAGCGUUAAAGAGAGAGAGCGAUAGAUAGAUAUACCAUAUAUAUAGUUACAGGUGAUGAGAUAAAUUUAAUGCUGUAUGUAAACGCAGCCGCUAUUCUUAAAACUUUUGCUAUUUCCAACGAUUCAGUUUAACGCAACGACACGUCGCGUAGUGAGAACUGGAUAAACGACACAUAAUUUAUUAAUUCCUCGUGAUUUAUCUCUGCACCCAUGCAGCCGGCAAAGAAGAGAGGAACCGAGUAAUAAUCACGAAGGAAACAAGGAUAAAAAAGAAGAUGAAAAAAGUUUGAAUCAAGAAUUUUUACGCUGGAAAUUAACGCGAGACACGGUGCGAAGUCCGUAGCUUUAGACUGCAUUUUCCAUGAAAGAACGAGUAUGAUUAUAGAUAUACCGUACGAUACGUGCCCUUGAAAAAAGAAAGAGCACAGGCUUGAGAAAUUUCGAGGAAAGUUAUACGGUAUAAAGUUGCCCAACUUUCCGGUGAACGGCAAUCAACUGAACCACCUGGCAACGACUCAUACCUAGAAACGAUAUAUUAACAUAAAUUUAUUACCAGUUGUCCGAAUUUUCUUUACCGUUGAAAGAUGUUCAUGAUUAUCUUGGACCGUCAAUUCUUUCUUUACGCCGAAGUUCCGGGUAAGCGAGACGUUGAAAGAAAGUCCAAAAAAAAAAAAAAAACUAUCCCUUGACCUUUUUCAGUAUCUCCAAGGGAACGUUUCACGUCGAAACAAUGUC